GUGGGGAAUAUUGCACAAUGGGCGAAAGCCUGAUGCAGCGACGCCGCGUGAGGGAUGACGGCCUUCGGGUUGUAAACCUCUUUCAGCAGGGACGAAGCGCAAGUGACGGUACCUGCAGAAGAAGCACCGGCUAACUACGUGCCAGCAGCCGCGGUAAUACGUAGGGUGCAAGCGUUGUCCGGAAUUACUGGGCGUAAAGAGUUCGUAGGCGGUUUGUCGCGUCGUUUGUGAAAACCAGCAGCUCAACUGCUGGCUUGCAGGCGAUACGGGCAGACUUGAGUACUGCAGGGGAGACUGGAAUUCCUGGUGUAGCGGUGAAAUGCGCAGAUAUCAGGAGGAACACCGGUGGCGAAGGCGGGUCUCUGGGCAGUAACUGACGCUGAGGAACGAAAGCGUGGGUAGCGAACAGGAUUAGAUACCCCGGUAGUCC
rnacentral:rRNA from 1 species